UUCUAUUAAUCAUAAUUAAUAGUAAAAUCUGCUCAAUGAAAUAUUUGAAUAGCCGCAAUUGUGCUAAGGUAGCAUAAUCAUUUGUCUUUUAAUUAAAGACUAGAACAAAAGAUUUAACACUUAAAAUUAUUUCUUUAAUUUAAAUAUUAAAAUUAUCUUAAAAGUAAAAAGCCUUUUAUAUAACAGAAAGACGAUAAGACCCUAUUGAAUUUUACUUUAGUUUAACUGGGGCAGUUAAUUAAUUAAUAUUUUAAUAAAAAUACUUAUAAAACUGAUCUAAUAAAAUUAAUUAAAUGACCAAAUUACCGUAGGGAUAACAGCGUAAUAAAAUUUAAAAGAUCUUAUUUAAAAAAAUGAUUGCGACCUCGAUGUUGAUUUAAUAUUCUUAUCUGCGCAAUAGUGGAUAAAGAAAGUCUGUUCGACUCUUAAAAAAUU
rnacentral:rRNA from 1 species